AAAAACUUUAACCUAAACUUUGCUGGUAACAGCUGCUUCUUUUUUGUGGGUCGAGUCUAAACAGAUAAAGGUAGCGGUUGUAUGUGCAGCGACACCUGGAGGACUGGAGGAUACAACAAUUACUGUAGUUGGCGCUCGCAUGAGAAUUACGGAAUAUUUUGAUACAUUUACACAGGAAUGAUAAAUGUAUAUUUAUAUAUUUUGCAGAUAUUUACUGUUAUUAUACUUUAAUUUAGUAAUUAUCAUGAACAAUUUAACUUAAAUUGUAAAUAUAUGUUUAAUAAUAAAAUACAGGAAACGGAAUGGCAAUGGUUAUUGUGACUUGUUUUGAUUCAUUAAAUGAAUCUUGAUGGGUGCAUAGUAAAAAAAAGCAGUAAUUUAGACAUUGAACACAACGAUAUAGUAGUUAAUUACAGCCUCAGUGUGUUUCUUUCUGAAUGUGUAGUUUGAACUGAUGAAUUAAUUUAUCAAAUUAUUCCUUCAUAAAUACAUUCUGGUGUAAUUCAUCUCUUGGAUUUAAUGUGAGAUUAAAUUAUGUAAGAAACAUUUGUUUGGACAGAAAUUUGUUGUUUUUAGAUAUUUGCUCAAGUAUAAGUCCAGUGUCUUUUUAUUAUUUUAUAUAUUCUUUUAUAUAUUUCCCUACUUCCUUUCAUUAACUGCAUGUACAUAAAGACAUACUUCUAAUGCUAAAAAAGUGUGUCACCUUUUCUGUAAUGGCUCUCAUUUGCCCAGUAGCCCACCAUUCUACAGUUAUCUCUACAGCUGUCUCUCAUUUGAUUCCCCUUGUGGUGUGGACAAUUGAAAUCAAGUCUGUUUGAUUAAUUUCUAUAAUUUACUUUCCAAGCACCUUUCAGAUAUCUGUGAGGAGUAACGAUCCAUUAUAUUUUAUGCAAUACAUUUAAUAAA